GGGCUGCAGGGACACGGUUCCAGCUGCUUCCUGGAACGGAGCAGCUCGGAGCUGGGGCCAGGCAGGCAGGGAGCCUGCCCUGGCCCCAGUGAGCGCCACUGCCACCCUGGAGCCCCUCUAGCUGCAAUAGGGGAUAAUCUGAUCCUGCAGAGCUGAUCUCCCCUGCUUCGGGACUGGGAAAGGGGGUGAAGAGCUUUGUUCAGAAGAGAUUUCUUCCAGCAAGCCUAGAUGCAAAGUGGAAUGCCUGGAGACCUGUCAUUGGCCACUAUCAGAAGACAGGAUACUGGGCUAGAUGGAUCAUUGGUCUCACCCAGUAUGGACAUGCUUAUGUUCUAACAUUUCCUACAUGCUAGCAAGACACCUUCUAGGAGCACUAUUACUUUAAGGGCAGAGACAAUGGAAACUUUACCAAGAGGCUAAAUGCACGGAGUAACAGUCAGCAGGAAGCCUGUGAAAAGCUGGAUGUCUGAAUGCGGCCAGGCUCGGGUUUAUACAUCUUUGGCCAAAGCCAGUUCUGCAAUCUUGAACACCCUAUCCUUGCUCACUGUAGCCUUGCCCUUGGGACAAGUUAGCUUUAUCAUUGCACAUGAACAUAAGCUUUGUGGUGAGCAAGGAACGAAGAGGAAGUCUCUUCUAAAUUGGGCCCUAAGCGAUUUAGGAUCUUGGAGAACCUUGAAUUUCACCUGAAAGUUUCACCAACAAGCACUGCAGCAUGCAAGUCACAGGUAUAACAUGUUCCUACCCAUCCACUCUGCUCAAACAGUUGGCUGUCAUAUUUUGCACCAGUGUUCAUUUUUGAGUUAAGCAGCCUUCACGCUUAAUCCUAGGUAGGGCACACUGCAGCCUCAAGAUGGCAAUCUUUCAGCUAGCAUACAAAGAAAAGAUGGCAUUUUUGGCCACAUUUGCCAUCUGGGAAUCUUGAGCAGAAAGGAGUCCAUCAACAACCUGAGAUUGUAGACCCUUUUGCCAAUGGAUAGGUAAAUGUCCUCAACUGAGAGAGCAGUGAGACUUCAACAGUUCCUCAAAAUGCUUUCCCCUGCCAGCCAGCAUCUCCUCCAUUGUGUAUAUAUACACCGAACAUAAGCCAGAAUGGCUUUUGUCCAGAUCCCCAUCUCUGCCAAACCAAGACAAUAUAAGCUGUAGAACCAAGUGUCAUUAGCAUAUGGAUGAUACUAUAGCUAAUGCCAUCUCAAAAACUUAAGCAGGCAAAACUGGGCGUUAAUUACACUAGAAUAGUCCAGUACUAGGUCUUUGUAACCGAGCACACAUAGUUUGAUGGAGACUGAUCGGGAUGGGGGUGGGGCAGGAGAGGUGUUUUCAGCUGUCUUACUAAUAUUUUUCAGGUUUAUUGUCUUCAGCCACGGCACUUAUCUCCACCUAGAUGCAUCACUUUUUACUUUUGUAUAGGUUUCAGAGUGGUAGCCGUGUUUGUCUAUAUCAGCAAAAACAACAAGGAAUC